UACGUAGGGGGCGAGCGUUGUCCGGAUUUAUUGGGCGUAAAAGGCUUGUAGGUGGCCACGUCAAGUCGGAUGUGAAAUCUCCCGGCUCAACUGGGAGGGGUCAUUCGAUACUGGCGGGCUCGAGGCCGGUAGGGGGAAGCGGAAUUCCCGGUGUAGUGGUGGAAUGCGUAGAUAUCGGGAGGAACACCAGUGGCGAAGGCGGCUCCUGGACCGGUUCUGACGCUGAUGCGCGAAAGCGUGGGUAGCAAACA
rnacentral:rRNA from 1 species